AAUUCUCUGAGAUGUUUGUCUGCGGGUCAGUCCCCUGAGCCGAUAUUGAUACAGACAGAAUGUGGUGAUUUGUCACCGGUGAGCAUACCUGAUUCGUUCAGGCAGCCUAAUGGAAGCAACACCGCGUUCACCUUGAACCAAGGGUUCAAGGGUUACAGCCUGCGACGGCAUCUUGGAGACCUC
rfam:Morganella morganii subsp. morganii KT, complete genome.